rnacentral:rRNA from 1 species
GACGAACGCUGGCGGCGUGCUUAACACAUGCAAGUCGAACGGAAAGGCCCUGCUUUUGUGGGGUGCUCGAGUGGCGAACGGGUGAGUAACACGUGAGUAACCUGCCCUUGACUUUGGGAUAACUUCAGGAAACUGGGGCUAAUACCGGAUAGGAGCUCCUGCUGCAUGGUGGGGGUUGGAAAGUUUCGGCGGUUGGGGAUGGACUCGCGGCUUAUCAGCUUGUUGGUGGGGUAGUGGCUUACCAAGGCUUUGACGGGUAGCCGGCCUGAGAGGGUGACCGGGCACAUUGGGACUGAGAUACGGACCAGACUCCUACGGGAGGCAGCAGUGGGGAAUAUUGCACAAUGGGCGGAAGCCUGAUGCAGCAACGCCGCGUGCGGGAUGACGGCCUUCGGGUUGUAAACCGCUUUCGCCUGUGACGAAGAGUGAGUGACGGUAAUGGGUAAAGAAGCACCGGCUAACUACGUG